rnacentral:tRNA from 1 species
GGCCCCGUGGUGUAGUUGGCCUAGCACGCCGCCCUCUCAAGGCGGAGAUCACGGGUUCGAAUCCCGUCGGGGCUA